UUGACCCAUCUUUCUCUCUCACUCUCCCUCUCGACCCUCUACCAAUCUACCCCCAAAUUCUAAUCUAACACUUUUAUUUUUCAUUUACCCAUCUCUUUCCCUGACUCUCUCUCUCUCUCUCUCCCCUCAAAUUGUUUCUCUCUGUCCUCUGUUCUCCUAAUCUCUUUUCUCAGAAUUUUCCUAAAACUCAUUGCCGGCUCUCACUAGCUCUCAUCCUCCCAAUCUCUUUUCUUUUGAUUUUUCAAAUUUAUGUUGAUUAUGGUGGAUCCUAACUCAAUAUCAUGAAAUUGCUUCGAAUUCUGUUGAUUGCAUGUUGGUCGAUUGAAGGAUUUUAGGACAAUCAUCACUCACUCUAUUGUGCUUGAAAUUAGAGGUAUGUUUAUAUACUCAUUAAUUCCUAUUAAUUAGAUGUAUAUUCAUCCAUUUUGAAUGUCGACUUUAUCAAAUCCAAAGGAACAAGGAGCAAAAGAGGCUUGAUUUUUGUUGGGCAUUUUGCUGCAAUCAUUAUUAGCUUGUACCCCUUUACCAUUUUGAUCAUCAAAAUUCCAUAGCCACCCCGAUAAACCAUCCAUGAGAAUAUUGGUGUCCGACCAUGAAUCCGCUUCUUGAUAUAGCAACUGGCAAUUAUGGAUUUUCCAUUAUUAGAUGUAGCGGUACCGCUGGAAUUUCUUGCUGGGUUUGUAUUUGGGGAGAGAAAAGGGAUUAUGGGCAAUCGAAUAUGUUAAUAAGUUAGUUAAUUAACAUAAUAACAUUUAUAUGGUUGAGUCAGACUGUAGAGAAAAAUGAUGAAGCAACAAAUGACAAUACCACCAAAUCUUUAAGGUGUUCUUUACCGAAAGAAAUUAUAAAAGAAAAAGAAAACCAAGUCUUUGAGGUGUGUAGGCUUCUGAACAACGAACAGCUUUAUCUAAUUUUCCUUUCUUGUCUUUUCUUUUCUUUUUUUUUUCACAGAGCAGCUUUGAUUCCGAACGGUGCACGAAUUUUAUUGUUUUGGCUUCAUGUAGUUAAGUCAUUAGUGAACUUCUUUAAGAAAAUACAGCGGCAAUCUUUGUUUUUGGUACGAUAUAUAUAGUGGCAAUCAUUGGUAUGGAUCUUAGAUUUCUUGUCUGGGAAUCUUAUGUCCCGCAAAGUUAACAAUAUGUGUUAGUUUCAGGAUAAUAUAUAAUCUAGAAUAGUAUCUUAUUUACAUGAUUAAUGUUGGUUAUGCUUUCAGCUACUCCUCUUAAUCUCACUUCAAGUGAGUUAAUUAUUCUUGAUUAGGUAUAUAGUUUUACUCAAAUGGGAGCCUUUCAAUCUUUUCUUGCAAUGUUUCAAGGAAUGGGCUUUUAGGUUCAGAACAGAGCUCAUGUUGAUAGAGGCAAGUUGCUCUAUGUGAUGAAAUCAGAGAGAAUUUGAGAUGAAAAUGAGGAUUCAAAGUGUUGAAAGUUUGGUGCUCUGAUAUGUGUUUUCUUCUCUUUUUUUUUAAAAAAAAAAAGAUACAUGAUAUAAUUUAAACAAAUAAAACAUUUUGAAACUAGCAUCCAAAUACAUAAGAUAUAAUUUAGAAACUUUAUAUCCGAAUGUAAGUUCUUAAGACUGGGUGAAUAAUUAUCUAAGACCAGAAUUUGUUUGUCCCAGAACAUAUAGUCUAAGUUUCAACAAAAUAAUACUCUACUAUAAACUUAUCCCUUUUCAUAAUUGGUUCUUUUUCAUGAGCCUUCAUAUAACAAGCCCUGUCAAUUAGGGAGUCAUUAUUGUUUAAAAAAAUCAAUAUCUAUUUGACUAUUUGUCUAGAUUGGACUUUCUUUCUUCAGUCCUUGUUUUCUGUUUCUCCCAGUUCAAUAAUUUGCAUUUACUAUAUUAUACUGAAGUUGCAUUUGGUGCCCUUAUUAGUGACGACAAAAGUGAGAGUUAACACAUCAUCUUUCAAUCAUCAAAAGUCAAAACAAGUCCGGUUCAAUUUGCUACGAAUAACCAAAUACUAAUUUGGAAACAUCCAGCUCCCUCCAUGGCUUCCUCCACCUCUAACUCUAUAUAUAUAUAGCUGCUUGGGAUCUUCUUUCUCCCAAUCAUUUCUAGCAGUAGCAGUUGCAACUUCAGAGGAAAAGUUUAUAUUUGCUUUUACUUUAUUUUGGACAGAUUUAUAUUUGCUGGUAAGUAUUUGACGGUGGAAAAGUGUUAGACUUUGGUAUUCUUGAGCAGGUACAUUACUUUAUUGGACUGGUUUUAUACGUUCACAUGCUUGAUCAGUCUUGUUCUAAUUUGCUUUUGAAUAUAGCAGUUGGUUAUUUUAGCUUUUAUCUCAUAUAAAAUGCAUUAUCUCAUAUAAAAUUAUCUCUGGCUAUGCCUAAUGUAGAUGUACCAUGUUAUAAUUUUGGAACAAUUUGCAUCUUAUGUUAGCUAGUAAUGUUGUUUAAAAAUUUAUUUAGUUCUUCUUAAUUGCUGAAGUUUCAUUUUUACAUUAAAUGUGCUGAAUUUUAGUUGUAGAUUAUAGCUUUAUUAAAUUGACUAAAUGUUACAUGAAUUGAGUUUGUUGUUCAGGCAUGGCUAGGACUAAGAAAGGAAGAAAUUCCAGCAGCAAUCGACUUAUUGAUGAACCAAUUGAUGAGCAUAUGGAAAAUCAGUCUAUAAGAGUGGAAGAGCUUCAUAACACAGGUAUUAAGAGUAUUUGAUAUUUUUAAAUAUAUUAUUUAGAGCAAAAAAUGGUCAUAACUUAUUGAAUCAAUCAAGAAUCACUUCAACAUCAUCUAAUCAUAUGUCAACCUCAAGUUCCAGUCUUAGACCUCUUAAAGUAAGUUUUUUAAUACAUUUGUUCAGUAAUGGCAGUCCUCUUUGCUUGAUAAUGAUAUGAUAUUUAGGCAUAUUUUGCUAUUACAAUUUGAAUGUGAUGAGCAUUUGAUUAGGCCUUAUGUGCCUUUGCAGACAAUUGCUGAUUCAAUUGGUACUCCUAUAGCUUGGCCAACAAAACUAGUAUGUUUUUCCUUUUCUAGCUUACAAAUUAUGUUAACUAUUAAUAUCUCAUAUGUUUGUCUCAUUCGAUAAUUACGAUAGAUUUUAAUACAUAAUAUACUUAUGCUAUAGGCAAAAAUUUGCGAAGAUUGAUGUGCUGAAAUUCAAAAGUGGACAAGGUGUUGCAGCAUAUGGAUACUUAUCCAUUUAUAUGGAAGUGCUCUAACUGUAAAAGGACAAAGUGUUGCUACAUAUAUUACAAGAAGUUGGUCUACCUAUGGUUUAUUCAUUGUGCAAUUAUUUAUUAUAUUGACAAUAAGAUUUGAUUUUGAUAAGACUGUGUAAUGAUUCAAAUAGCUUUCAAGCAAAUGAUAAGGUAGAUAGUAGAAUCAUUUAUACUUUUUGGAUUGGGGUUUCAUUUCAAUUUGUGGGAAUUAGGUACUAGAAGAGAUAUAUUUUGGGUUAUCAAUGUUAAUUAUCAUUGCAUUUGCUAAAAUUAAUGUUUAUGGUGUACAUUUAAAGCUUAAAGCAAUGCAAUUCAAAGCUUAAAGUAAUAAUAAAAGUACAGUGCCACAAAAAUUCAAGGCAUCAGUUAGACGAUUUUAGAAUCAAAACAAGGAGGAAUAAGGAACAUCAUAGGUUAAGCUUACUAUUGCUUUAGGUAGAAUAAUUUCAAAUGUAUUACACUUUGAAUAUGUCUAAAUAUGUUAGUUUUAUUUGAUUGAACUGUUCCACUAAUGAUGCAUUAUCCUUCUGGGUAUAAUUAUUCUUGCUGGCUUUGGUUAAGAUUGUCUUUGUUGCUUUUUCGGUUCUUGAGAUAUUUUCCUUUUCUUUUGGUUAGAAACAUUAAAAUUACCUCGCGUGCACUUGAAGUGUGAAGAUACUCAUGGGUUAUUUGCAUUAAUAUCAUCAAGAAUUUUUGUCAGAUCUCAUUGCUUUUGGUUUCUUCUGAGGUACUAUCUUGUUCUUUAAAUUUUUUUCCUUGCUUAUUUUUAUUGUUGGAAAUUCUCUUCUAAUUAGGGUUUGAGAUGUGUAGUGCUUCUGUUUAGGGAACUAUUUAAUACUGAAGCUGAUUUUUCAUGUCUAUUUUAGCUGGUAUUCAUUCCUUUUGCCAUUGAGUUUAGGUACUAAUUAAAUUGUAUUCCUUCUCUAUUACACACGUAAGAAUCUCCAAGGAUGGAAUAAAGGUUGAGGUAAAUCUUUUUGCAUGGAAUUGCUAUUCUACGCUAGAUAUAAUUGCUAUUCUAUAAUGGAAAUAUUGUUUAGGUUCAUGUGAAUCAUUGAAAAGGAGAUUAGAAAGUUCAAAGACAAUCUCUUUUCUACAAAACUUAUAAUAAAAGUUCAUAAUUUUAAUAUUAAUUUUAAUAUUUGGUCCUAAUCUUUUGGUGUUGUAUGGCGAUGUCUGCACCAGAUAGUUAGAUGGAAUUUGGCCAGAACCCUUGAGCAAGGAAAAGGCAUGCAUUGAAUGAAAGAAGCAAGAGAUUAGGGAUAUAGCUUUUCUCAUCACUGAGACUUACAACUUUUCAUAUAGAUUGAGUGGAACUAUUUUUUCUUCGAAAAGUGUAAAUUUCGCUUGUUUUGAAGAUCUGUUAUUUUUUUCCUUUUAUUUAUUUAUUUUCUUAUUUUGACUUUGAGACUAUUAUUAUAGAUUGGUAUAAAUUGCUUUGUUUUUUUUUCCCAAAAUUUGAUGUUUCUGAUCAAAAUUAAGUGUUCCAUAGAAAUUCAAAUUCCUCUAAUAUUUUCUUUAGGAUUUUUUUGUUCAAAUGUUUGGUAAUCUGGUUAUGACAUUGCUUCUUUUCUGUAGCUUUUAACUUUGGAUUUUCAUCCAUAUAGUGUGUUUCUAAACCCAUCGUUCACUGCUGGAUAGGCAUAUGCUUUCACGAGAACGACAAGAGAGUCAGAAUGAAGCUGGAGCUCUCUGAUGCUAUUACUCAUUGAAAGUCUAGAAUCAUUUUGCUUGUGGCCAAUUAGAAAUACCUUUUCCAUUCUUUGUCAAUUUGUUCAAUUGGCACUGGUAUGGGUUUAGUCUUACUAAGUAGAUUUUCUCUUUAUGGUGCAUGUACAUGCAUUUCAUUAUUCCAUUAUUCGUUUGACUAUAUUGUAAAAGAAACUUAUUGCUGUUAAAUAUCCUUUUCUAGGAACUGAC
rnacentral:lncRNA from 1 species